rnacentral:rRNA from 1 species
AAGGGCCCAGCAAGACCAGCUGGUUGAUAGGCCGGGUGUGGACGCGCUGCAAGGCGUUGAGCUAACCGGUACUAAUGGCCCGUGAGGCUUGACCAUA